rnacentral:lncRNA from 1 species
AAGCACUCUACCACUGAACUAUAUCCCCAGCUGUUUUCUUGUAUUUGGAAUUCACUUGUGUUAACUGAAAGUCUACUGAAUUCAUCUUAGAUUUGAAUCACUUUUGCAACCACAGGAUGCAGCAUAAUGUCUGACACUGCAUGCUAGGCAAGCACUCUACCUCUGAACUAUAUCCCCAGCUGUUUUAUUGUAUUUGGAAUUCACUUGUGUUAACUGAAAGUCUACUGAAUUCAUCUUAGAUUUGAAUCACUUUUGCAACUACAAGAUGUAGCAUAAUGUCUGACAUGUCUGACACUUAGCAGGUGCUCAGGAAAUGUCUGCUGAAUACAGGAGAUAAAGUCCAGCUUUUUGAACUGUUCUUGGAUGACUGAAUAAUGACUUGAAUAAUAGUCAAGGCUUCUGAGGUGGGAGGUUUCUAUCAUGGUACAGGUCAGACAGCACCACUCAUCCCAAAAUCAGGCACAGGAAAUAUCUUCUAAUGGAAUAGCUCAGGAGUUCUUAAACGUGGAUGUGAGGUUUAAGAAACAGUGGCCUCCAAAUGUGGGAACAUAGUGUAUUUCUUGGUGUAACAUGCAUGGGUGGGGAACCUCAGGGCAGGUGGAGGAGGCCCUUCCAGAUGCUUUCCCAACUGAGCAUCAGGCCUGGACCCAGUGUUCUCUCCUAUUGAUGCCUCUAUGUGAUGGUGUUAGCUGACUGAUGUGGCUUCAGGAAUCUCUGAUCUAGCAGGUGUCCACCUAUGUUAAACACCAAUAUGCUUCAUACCAGUCUAGGACUGGUUUGCAAAUCCACCAGAGCUGGAGAUAAAAGCUGAAGCGUGGCCUCUGUAAUUGAAGGUGAAUUCGCCCAUAAAGGUCUCCAGGAGAGUAUGACUCAGAAAAGAUCUAAGAAAGAAGGGCAGCUCACAGAAAGGUAGUCCUGGAGUCCUACAGCAAAGCUAACCCUCUGUAGAUGACAGCUAAAAGUACAGUUGGUCCAAGAGGGCCAGAGACAUGCUGGGAUCAUGCCUCUACUAGCAAUAUAUAUUCCUAGGAAAGAAC